rnacentral:rRNA from 1 species
UACGAAGGGGGCUAGCGUUGUUCGGAUUUACUGGGCGUAAAGCGCACGUAGGCGGAUCGUUAAGUCGGGGGUGAAAUCCUGGAGCUCAACUCCAGAACUGCCUUCGAUACUGGCGAUCUUGAGUCCGGAAGAGGUGAGUGGAACUCCUAGUGUAGAGGUGGAAUUCGUGGAUAUUAGGAAGAACACCAGUGGCGAAGGCGGCUCACUGGUCCGGUACUGACGCUGAGGCGCGAAAGCUAGGGGAGCAAACGGG